CCUACGGGAGGCAGCAGUGGGGAAUCUUGCGCAAUGGGCGGAAGCCUGACGCAGCAACGCCGCGUGCGGGAAGAAGGCCUUAGGGUCGUAAACCGCUUUCAGGGGGGUACGAAGCUUCCGGGGUUAAUAGCCUACGGGGUGACGGUACUCCCAAAAGAAGGUCCGGCUAACUACGUGCCAGCAGCCGCGGUAAUACGUAGGGACCGAGCGUUGUCCGGAAUCAUUGGGCGUAAAGAGCGUGUAGGCGGCUUGGUAGGUCUCGUGUGAAAUCCCGCGGCUCAACCGCGGAUCCGCACGGGAAACCCCUAAGCUCGAGUCCGGAAGAGGAGAGUGGAAUUCCUGGUGUAGCGGUGAAAUGCGCAGAUAUCAGGAAGAACACCCGUAGCGAAGGCGGCUCUCUGGGACGGUACUGACGCUGAGACGCGAAAGCGUGGGGAAGCAAACAGGAUUAGAUACCCUGGUAGUCCACGCCGUAAACGAUGGGCGCUAGGUGUGGGAGGUGUCGACGUCCUCCGUCGCGACGACUACGCAUAGCGCCCGCCGUCGGGAGGUACGGCCGCGAGGACGUAAACUACAAUAGAAUAGACGGCGUGAGACGUGCGACGGACGACGACGAGGGAGAGG
rnacentral:rRNA from 1 species